CCUACGGGAGGCAGCAGUCGAGAAUCAUUCACAAUGGGGGAAACCCUGAUGGAGCGACGCCGCGUGGGGGAAUGAAGGUCUGCGGAUUGUAAACCCCUGUCAUGUGGGAGCAAAUUAAAAAGAUAGUACCACAAGAGGAAGAGACGGCUAACUCUGUGCCAGCAGCCGCGGUAAUACAGAGGGCUCAAGCGUUGUUCGGAACCACUGGGCGUAAAGCGUGCGUAGGCGGUUUCUUAAGUCGUGUGUGAAAGGCGCGGGCUCAACCCGCGGACGGCACCUGAUAAUGCGAGACUAGAGUGAUGGAGGGGGAACCGGAAUUCUCGGUGUAGCAGUGAAAUGCGUAGAUAUCGAGAGGAACACUCGUGGCGAAGGCGGGUUCCUGGACAUUAACUGACGCUGAGGCACGAAGGCCAGGGGAGCGAAAGGGAUUAGAUACCCGAGUAGUC
rnacentral:rRNA from 1 species